UACGGGGGGUGCGAGCGUUGUCCGGAAUCACUGGGCGUAAAGGGCGCGUAGGCGGUUUGGUAAGGCUGUGGUGAAAGCCCGGGGCUCAACCCCGGGUCUGCCGUGGCGACUGUCAGACUGGAGGGCUCGAGAGGCAGACGGAAUUCCGGGUGUAGCGGUGGAAUGCGUAGAGAUCCGGAAGAAGACCGGUGGCGAAGGCGGUCUGCUGGCGAGUCCCUGACGCUGAGGCGCGACAGCGUGGGGAGCAAACAGG
rnacentral:rRNA from 2 species